rnacentral:rRNA from 1 species
CCAUCCCGCGUGAAGGAUGAAGGGGCUCUGCCUUGUAAACUUCUUUUGAAUGGGACGAAAAAAGGGGAUUUAUCCUCGACUGACGGUACCAUUAGAAUAAGCACCGGCUAACUCCGUGCCAGCAGCCGCGGUAAUACGGAGGGUGCAAGCGUUAUCCGGAAUCACUGGGUUUAAAGGGUGCGUAGGCGGCUAAAUAAGUCAGUGGUGAAAGGCCGUGGCUUAACCAUGGGAUUGCCAUUGAUACUGUAUAGCUUGAAUGAGGAUGAGGUUGGCGGAAUGUGGCAUGUAGCGGUGAAAUGCUUAGAUAUGCCAUGGAACAUCGAUUGCGAAGGCAGCUGACUGGACCUGAAUUGACGCUGAGGCACGAAAGCGUGGGUAGCGAACAGGAUUAGAUACCCUGGUAGUCCACGCCCUAAACUAUGCUUACUCGUUGUUUGAUCGCAAGAUUGAGUGACUAAGGGAAACCGAUAAGUAAGCCACCUGGGGAGUACGACCGCAAGGUUGAAACUCAAAGGAAUUGACGGGG